rnacentral:rRNA from 1 species
CAGUGGGGAAUUUUGGACAAUGGGCGCAAGCCUGAUCCAGCGACGCCGCGUGGAGGACGAAGGCCUUCGGGUUGUAAACUCCUUUUGGAGGGGAAGAAUAAAUUGACGGUACCCUCAGAAAAAGCCACGGCUAACUACGUGCCAGCAGCCGCGGUAAUACGUAGGUGGCGAGCGUUACUCGGAAUUACUAGGCGUAAAGCGUAUGUAGGUGGUUAGAUAAGUCUAUGGUGAAAUUUCCUGGCUCAACUGGGAAGGGACAUAGAUACUAUCUGGCUUGAGUGUGGGAGGGGGAGACGGAAUUCCUGGUGUAGCGGUGAAAUGCGUAGAUAUCAGGAGGAACACCGAUGGCGAAAGCAGUCUCCUGGCCCAAUACUGACACUGAGGUACGAAAGCUAGGGUAGCAAACAGGAUUAGAUACCCUGGUAGUCCUAGCUGUAAACGAUGUUCACUAGAUGUGGG